rnacentral:rRNA from 1 species
CAGCAGCCACGGGAAUACGUAGGGUGCAAGCGUUAAUUGGAAUUACUGGGCGUAAAGCGUGCGCAGGCGGUUUGUUAAGACAGAUGUGAAAUCCCCGGGCUCAACCUGGGAACUGCAUUUGUGACUGGCAAGCUAGAGUGUGGCAGAGGGGGGUGGAAUUCCGCGUGUAGCAGUGAAAUGCGUAGAUAUGCGGAGGAACACCGAUGGCGAGGGCAGCCCCCUGGGCCAACACUGACGCUCAUGCACGAAAGCGUGGGGAGCAAACAGGAUUAGAGACCCGCGUAGUCCCUGUCUCUUAUAC